rnacentral:rRNA from 1 species
GACGAACGCUGGCGGCGUGCCUAAUACAUGCAAGUCGAGCGAGUCUGCCUUGACGAUCGGAGUGCUUGCACUCUGUGAAACAAGAUACAGGCUAGCGGCGGACGGGUGAGUAACACGUGGGUAACCUGCCCAAGAGAUCGGGAUAACACCUGGAACAGAUGCUAAUACCGGAUAACAACAGAUGAUGCCUAUCAACUGUUUAAAAGAUGGUUCUGCUAUCACUCUUGGAUGGACCUGCGGUGCAUUAGCUAGUUGGUAGGGUAACGGCCUACCAAGGCGAUGAUGCAUAGCCGAGUUGAGAGACUGAUCGGCCACAUUGGGACUGAGACACGGCCCAAACUCCUACGGGAGGCAGCAGUAGGGAAUCUUCCACAAUGGACGCAAGUCUGAUGGAGCAACGCCGCGUGAGUGAAGAAGGGUUUCGGCUCGUAAAGCUCUGUUGUUGGUGAAGAAGGACAGGGGUAGUAACUGACCUUUGUUUGACGGUAAUCAAUUAGAAAGUCACGGCUAACUAAGUG